rnacentral:rRNA from 1 species
GACGAACGCUGGCGGCGUGCCUAAUACAUGCAAGUAGGACGCAGUUGCGAACGGGUGAGUAACGCGUAGGUAACUACCUAUUAGAGGGGGAUAACUAUUGGAAACGAUAGCUAAUACCGCAUACUAGUAGAUGGACCUGCGUUGUAUUAGGUAGUAGGUAGGGUAAUGGCCUAUCUAGGCAAGGAUACAUAGCCGACCUGAGCGGGUGAUCGGCCACAAUGGGACUGAGACACGGCCCAGACGCCUUCGGGAGGCAGCAGUAGGGAAUCUUCGGACAUGGGGGGAACCCUUACCGAGCAACGCCGCGGGAGUGAAGAAGGUUUUCGGGUCGUAAAGCUUUGUUGUUAAGGAAGCGGUACUUAACCAGAAAGGGACGGCUAACUACGUGCCAGCAGCCGCGGUAAUUC